CAGAGAACAACGAUGACAAGCUCUUGGACAAAGUUGUACGUAUCGAAGUUACCAGUUAGGACAGUAUCCAGUCUUAGUAGUUCUCAGCUAGCAACCACUUAUUCAGACCAUGUCAGUAUACAUAUGAAGCAACAGUGAAAAUAAAAGCAGAACCCAGGAGCGAGAAGCACUCAUACCAGGAUAUAGUUGGAGAAUUGCCACUUCAGCUCUAAAGAAUAUAUGUUCUACAGAGAUAUUGAAUGACUCCUUCACAGCAAGACAGUACCAGAGAACUCAAAACUGCUGAUGUGCAGUGCCAUCCAGCUCAUAUGCCCUUUCUUGACACAGCCGAAGAACUAGAAGUUUUCCUUCUGCACUGCAAACAAGACCCUGUCAGAAGUAAAGCCAUAUAAUUUUCCUUCAGGAAAACCUGUGUAAGAUUUUCCACCUCCACCGCUCCAAUGUGUGCAACUUACAGUCAGGUAGACU